GGCUCAGGAUGAACGCUGGCGGUAUGCUUAACACAUGCAAGUCGAACGGUCUCUUCGGAGAUAGUGGCGGACGGGUGAGUAACGCGUGAGAACAUGCCUUUAGAUUGGGGACAACAGUUGGAAACGACUGCUAAUACCGAAUGUGCCUUAGGGUGAAAGAUUUAUUGUCUAGAGAUUGGCUCGCGUCAGAUUAGCUAGUUGGAGUGGUAACGGCACACCAAGGCGACGAUCUGUACUUGGUCUGAGAGGAUGACCAGGCACACUGGAACUGAGACACGGUCCAGACUCCUACGGGAGGCAGCAGUGGGGAAUUUUCCGCAAUGGGCGAAAGCCUGACGGAGCAAUACCGCGUGAGGGAGGACGGCUUUUGGGUUGUAAACCUCUUUUAUCAGGGAAGAAUCGAUGACGGUACCUGAUGAAUCAGCAUCGGCUAACUCCGUGCCAGCAGCCGCGGUAAUACGGAGGAUGCAAGCGUUAUCCGGAAUUAUUGGGCGUAAAGCGUCCGUAGGUGGUUUAUCAAGUCUGCUGUCAAAGCGUGCGGCUUAACCGCAUAAGGGCAGUGGAAACUGAUGAACUAGAGUGCGAUAGGGGUAACAGGAAUUCCCAGUGUAGCGGUGAAAUGCGUAGAUAUUGGGAAGAACACCAGCGGCGAAAGCGUGUUACUGGGUCUGCACUGACACUGAGGGACGAAAGCUAGGGGAGCGAAAGGGAUUAGAUACCCCUGUAGUCCUAGCCGUAAACGAUGACAACUAGGCGUGGUUCGUAUCGACCCGAGCCGUGCCGUAGCCAACGCGUUAAGUUGUCCGCCUGGGGAGUACGCACGCAAGUGUGAAACUCAAAGGAAUUGACGGGGGCCCGCACAAGCGGUGGAGUAUGUGGUUUAAUUCGAUGCAACGCGAAGAACCUUACCAAGGCUUGACAUCCUCGGAACCCUGAUGAAAGUUAGGGGUGCCUUCGGGAGCCGAGAGACAGGUGGUGCAUGGCUGUCGUCAGCUCGUGUCGUGAGAUGUUGGGUUAAGUCCCGCAACGAGCGCAACCCACGUUUUUAGUUGCCAGCAUUCAGUUGGGCACUCUAGAGAGACUGCCGGUGACAAACCGGAGGAAGGUGUGGAUGACGUCAAGUCAGCAUGCCCCAUACGCCUUGGGCUACACACGUACUACAAUGCGUCGGACAAAGAGCAGCCAGCCAGCGAUGGUGAGCCAAUCUCAUAAACCGGCGCUCAGUUCAGAUUGCAGGCUGCAACUCGCCUGCAUGAAGGCGGAAUCGCUAGUAAUCGCAGGUCAGCAUACUGCGGUGAAUACGUUCCCGGGCCUUGUACACACCGCCCGUCACACCAUGGGAGUUGGUCACGCCCGAAGUCGUUACUCUAACUGCUUGCAGAGGAGGACGCCGAAGGUGGGGCUGAUGACUGGGGUGAAGUCGUAACAAGGUAGCCGUACCGGAAGGUGUGGCUGGAUCACCUCCUUA
rnacentral:rRNA from 1 species